UACGUAGGGCGCAAGCGUUGUCCGGAAUUAUUGGGCGUAAAGAGCUCGUAGGCGGUCUGUUACGUCCGCUGUGAAAACCCAGGGCUUAACCCUGGGCUUGCAGUGGAUACGGGCAGACUAGAGGCAGGUAGGGGAGAAUGGAAUUCCCGGUGUAGCGGUGAAAUGCGCAGAUAUCGGGAGGAGCACCGGUGGCGAAGGCGGUUCUCUGGGCCUGACCUGACGCUGAGGAGCGAAAGCGUGGGGAGCGAACAGG
rnacentral:rRNA from 1 species